rnacentral:rRNA from 1 species
UACGAAGGGGGCUAGCGUUGUUCGGAAUUACUGGGCGUAAAGCGUGCGCAGGCGGCUUCUCAAGUCAGGGGUGAAAGCCCAGAGCUCAACUCUGGAACUGCCUUUGAGACUGAGUGGCUUGAGUACGAGAGAGGUGAGUGGAAUUCCCAGUGUAGAGGUGAAAUUCGUAGAUAUUGGGAAGAACACCAGUGGCGAAGGCGACUCACUGGACACGUAUUGACGCUGAGGUGCGAAAGCGUGGGGAGCAAACAGG